rnacentral:rRNA from 1 species
CCUACGGGAGGCAGCAGUGAGGAAUAUUGGUCAAUGGGCGCUAGCCUGAACCAGCCAAGUAGCGUGAAGGAUGACUGCCCUAUGGGUUGUAAACUUCUUUUAUAUGGGAAUAAAGUGCAGUAUGUAUACUGCUUUGCAUGUACCUUAUGAAUAAGGAUCGGCUAACUCCGUGCCAGCAGCCGCGGUAAUACGGAGGAUCCGAGCGUUAUCCGGAUUUAUUGGGUUUAAAGGGAGCGUAGGCGGUUUGUUAAGUCAGUUGUGAAAGUUCGCGGCUCAACCGUAAAAUUGCAGUUGAUACUGGCAGCCUUGAGUACAGUAGAGGUAGGCGGAAUGCGUGGUGUAGCGGUGAAAUGCUUAGAGAUCACGAAGAACUCCGAUUGCGAAGGCAGCCUGCUGGACUGUAACUGACGCUGAUGCUCGAAAGUGUGGGUAUCAAACAGGAUUAGAUACCCUGGUAGUC